rnacentral:rRNA from 1 species
AGUGAACGCUGGCGGUAGGCCUAACACAUGCAAGUCGAACGACAGCACAGUAAGAGCUCGCUCUUACGGGUGGCGAGUGGCGGACGGGUGAGGAAUACAUCAGAAUCUACUUUUUCGUGGGGGAUAACGUGGGAAAACUUACGCUAAUACCGCAUACGAUCAACGGGUGAAAGCAGGAGAUCUUCGGACCUUGCGCGUUUGAUUGAGCCGAUGUCGGAUUAGCUAGUUGGCGGGGUAAAGGCCCACCAAGGCAACGAUCCGUAGCUGGUCUGAGAGGAUGAUCAGCCACACUGGAACUGAGACACGGUCCAGACUCCUACGGGAGGCAGCAGUGGGGAAUAUUGGACAAUGGGCGCAAGCCUGAUCCAGCCAUACCGCGUGGGUGAAGAAGGCCUUCGGGUUGUAAAGCCCUUUUGUUGGGAAAGAAAAGCAGCAGGUGAAUACCCCGAUGUUCUGACGGUACCCAAAGAAUAAGCACCGGCUAACUUCGUG